GGCCUGAGAGGGCGACCGGCCACACUGGGACUGAGACACGGCCCAGACUCCUACGGGAGGCAGCAGUGGGGAAUAUUGCACAAUGGGGGAAACCCUGAUGCAGCGACGCAGCGUGCGGGAUGACGGCCUUCGGGUUGUAAACCGCUUUCAGCAGGGAAGAAGCGAAAGUGACGGUACCUGCAGAAGAAGUACCGGCUAACUACGUGCCAGCAGCCGCGGUAAUACGUAGGGUACGAGCGUUGUCCGGAAUUAUUGGGCGUAAAGAGCUCGUAGGUGGUUGGUCACGUCUGCUGUGGAAACGCAACGCUUAACGUUGCGCGUGCAGUGGGUACGGGCUGACUAGAGUGCAGUAGG
rnacentral:rRNA from 2 species